rnacentral:rRNA from 1 species
AAGGUAUCAUAGAGGGUGAGAAUCCCGUCUUUGACUCGGAGUUUGCUGUGUACGAGGCGUGUUCGGCGAGUCGAGUUGCUUGGGAUUGCAGCUCUAAAUGGGUGGUAAAUUUCAUCUAAAGCUAAAUAGUGACGAGAGACCGAUAGCGAACAAGUACCGUGAGGGAAAGAUGAAAAGAACUUUGAAAAGAGAGUUAAAAAGUACUUGAAAUUGUUAAGAGGAAAGCACUGGAAACCAGUCGUGCCUGGCUCUAUAUUAACCGUCGACGGGCGAAGAGUAGUUGGUUGGGAGCGUAAGCCCUGGCUGGUUACUGGACGUUUAGUGGGCGGGUCCUGUAGGGUUAGGUGGGUUAGAAUCAGUUCGGUAAUUUUUGGUGCGGGAGAAAGCUGUUGGGAAGGUAGGGCUGCGAGGGCAACCUCAAGGCCUGUUAUAGCCUGGCAGUGCUACCGUGCCCUGGACUGAGGAAGUUUUAAGAAAGAAUACGCGCCACUAGGUUGUCGAUUCCCUUGCCCUGGUGCAUGAUCUGCGUUGGACAACAAAGUUGUGCGCGUGGAGAAGUGUGCUACUGGUGGGGGUUCAAUCAGAAGCAGUAUUCUAGAUUCUGACGAAAUGGUUUUCAUUGACCCGUCUUGAAACACGGACCAAGGAGUCUAACAUAUAUGCGAGUAUUUGGGUGUGAAAACCCUGAUGCGUAAUGAAAGUGAAGGUUGCCUAGUUGCAGCUGAGGUAGGAACCGUACACUGCGUUGUGUUGCGGGGCACUAUCGACCGAUCGUCACUUGUGAUAGAUUUGAGUAUGAGCAUAUCUGUUGGGACCCGAAAGAUGGUGAUCUAUGCCUGAACAGGGUGAAGCCAGGGGAAACUCUGGUGGAGGCUCGUAGCGAUACUGACGUGCAAAUCGUUCGUCUGAUUUGGGUAUAGGGGCGAAAGACUAAUCGAACCAUCUAGUAGCUGGUUCCCUCCGAAGUUUCCCUUAGGAUAGCUGGAACUUGUACAGUUUUAUCAGGUAAAGCUAAUGAUUAGAGGUGCUAGAGUUGAAACAACUUUAACCUAUUCUCAAACUUUAAAUAGGUAAGAAGCCUGUUCGGUUACUUGAUUGAACCCGGGCCUCGAAUGGAAGUUCUUAGUGGGCCAUUUUUGGUAAGCAGAACUGGCGAUGCGGGAUGAACCGGACGCUGACUUAAAGUGCCCAAGUGUUCGCUCAUCAGAUCCUACAAAAGGUGUUGGUUCAUUUAGACAGCAGGACGGUGG